AUGUGAAGGGAAGGACUCUGAUAUAGACCGUAGACGUAGAAAAGUGCACAAAUUUAGAUGGCAUAUGCAGAAGAUAUUUGAGGCAGAUCCAAGUGCUAUUGAGUACCUUGAGAAACACCAUAAUAGGAUUUGGUAUAGGUGCGCCUUUGGUGUGGAUAGCAAGGUUGAUUAUCUCACUAACAAUAUUUCUGAAAGUUUCAACAAGCAAAUCAAAGAUUUGAAAGGGUUAAAUUUGUGUGAGCUACUGGAUAGGAUUAGAGAGCUAAUAAUGGUGAAGUUCAAUGUGAGGAGGCAUGUUGGUAGGCAUUUGGCCGACAUAAUUUUGCCCGAGGUUCUCAAGAGGCUCAAUGCACUCAGUAAAACAAUUGGGCCCCAUAAAGUGGCGUGGAAUACAGAACAUGAGGCAGAGAUUACACUAUAUGAUGAGAAAGCAUAUGACCAGAGGCACACGGUUGAUCUAAAACAGAGAACAUGCUCAUGUCAGAAAUUUCAAGUUUCUGGGCAGCCUUGCAUUCAUGCAUUGAUUUCAUUUGUUCAAUGAGGGGCACAAAGAUUGAGUCCUUUGUUGAUGAGUAUUACAGUGUGGCAAAAUUUAAGGCUGCUUAUGCUGGGGCACUGCCAACCAUGACAGAUAGGACACAAUGGGAGCAAGUUGACCUUGGAUUCAUGGUUUACCCACCUGUACAAGAGAAAAGGCCACCUGGAAGGUCUAGGGUUCAAAGAAUUAGAGGAUUUCUUGAAGACCCAGGCAGGAAAGUAGUCAAAUGGAAAAAAUGCGGUCGAAAUGGCCACUUUGCGAAAACUUGCAAUCUCCCUCCUUUAGUUAUUGUAGAACCACCACCAAUGGAGCACACUCCUAGUAAAAGAGAGAUGCUACUGCAACCGAGGAGGAAGUUGUGGAAGAUGACGAACCUAUCGCAAAUUAUAAAAGACAGAAGACUCCUGUCAAGAAGAACACGCUGGUCAAGACGACGCCGGUCAAGAAGACGACACCGGUCAAGAAGAAAACGACGCCGGCUAAGAAGAAGACACCGGUCAAGAAGAAAAAGACGCCGGUUAAGAAGAAGACACGGGUUAAGAAGAAGAAGACGUCGGUCAAGAAGAACUCCGGUCAAGGGGAAAGGCAAGCAAAGUGAAGGUACCGGAAAGGACAAAACUACAGGGAAGAAGAGCAAAAACUGCAGUUCGUUACACCAUCUACUAGUGAUGCUGUUCUAAAGCCAACUCUAGGAACCAAGAAAAAUCUGCUUUAUUGGCUUGGGGGUCGAAUUUGCUUGAACUGGACCAUGUAUGUGUGUGUGAUGCUCAAACUGGAGCUUCAACCUAUGUGUGUGUGUGAUGCUCAAACUGGAGCUUGAACUUGUGUGUGAGGCUCAAACUAGAGCUUGUGUGUGGGAUGCUCAAAUAGGAGCUUUAAGACUAUUUUGUUUCAUCUUUUAUUGAUGCAAAAUAUUAUGACUUGUCAUCUGAUGCAAAUUAUAUGUAUUUUGCCAGAGGUCAUGUCCA